UACGUAAGGACCGAGCGUUGUCCGGAAUCAUUGGGCGUAAAGGGUACGUAGGUGGUUAGAAAAGUUAGAAGUGAAAGGCUAUAGCUCAACUAUAGUAAGCUUUUAAAACUGUUUAACUUGAGAGAUGGAAGGGAAAGUGGAAUUCCUAGUGUAGCGGUGAAAUGCGCAGAUAUUAGGAGGAAUACCGGUGGCGAAGGCGGCUUUCUGGACUGUAACUGACACUGAGGCACGAAAGCGUGGGUAGCAAACAGG
rnacentral:rRNA from 1 species